GGGAUACCUGUGAUGACCUUCAUUUGAAAGAGACACUUGGGCCAAUGGUGAACCAUAUGGAUAGUCCCCAAACCCACGGGCUUUAAGAUGAACAAAGAAGGGCAACACAGUGUCAAGAGCAAAGGCCAGUAAACUAAUUUGAAUUAUAGACAUCCGUCUUCAAGCCAUGGGAGCUGACCGCUGGCAGCCAUAUUGAAGUGAAGAUUGGAGUCCAGAAGACCACAGAGGUGAAGUGUCAGUCUUACCACAUCGUAUCAAGAGUACAUGCUAUGAGUAUAACUCAUCCCUGUUGAUGUUAACCUUGACCAUCUGAGCAUCUGAGGUCAUGUUUGCUACGUUUCUUGGCCAUGAAGUUCCCUUUUUCCCCCUUUCCAUCCUCUGUUUUUUGGAAGCAAGUUUCUAAAUGCAGCUCACACUCAACGGAUGGGGAAUUAAGCUCCCUUCUUAAGGGAGAAGGGAAGUAUCUACAGGAAUUAACUGAAGAGGAACAUUUCAUUAAUAGUCCCAUGAACUAAAAGAGAAGUUUCCAUGAUCAACUACAGUUAAGAAAUACUAAGUU